GGGGUUGUGGCUCAGUGGUAGAGUAUGUGCCUUGCACAUGUCGGGCACUGGGUUCAGUCCUCAACACCA
rnacentral:tRNA from 1 species